rnacentral:misc_RNA from 1 species
AAGUCGUAACAAGGUUUCCGUAGGUGAACCUGCGGAAGGAUCAUUACCGAUUUUAGCGGACCUGAUCUGUGGUCAUGGUCUCGCGAAAACUUGUAUUUAAAACCCCACUCUUAUAAAUUGAAUCAUUUUAUUAUAUGUAUAAUAAAUAAAGAUCACUUUCAACAACGGAUCUCUUGGCUCUC